UUCAUGUUGAAUGAUUUCAAUAUACAGAUAGAACCAUUCAAGAAUCAAUACAGGCGCCUAGUAGGACAGUUUCAGUGCCUGGCAUGACACAUGACUUGUUCCUGAAGGAAAUACCGGACAGUACAAGCCAUUUAAUGUUGUCCAAAGGACCAUUUGUCUUGAACAUUCCAAAACAGGAACGAGCUGUUCAUGUGAGGUUUCUCUGCUUUUAAGGGAGUUAUUGAAGGUGUGGAUGCCAGUGGAGAGAACAAAAAUCAAAGAAUACUUGCUACGUCCUCGUCAUUGGAGAAGUCUGAGUAGAGGCAAGCGACAUCUGAGUACAGCGGCUGAUCCAAUAUGCUACGUUUCAGAUUAAAGGAUUCUGUGAGACGUGUCCUGUGAUGAAAUCUUCGAGGAGUGGACAAAGGAGGUGACGCAGAAGAAGCGAUCAGUGUCAGCAAUGGAAGCCAUCUUUCUUGCAACCAUGAUGGCGGCCAUCUCCGUCCAAUUGUCGUCUGCUGAUCAAUUGACAAUUCAUUUCCGUUUGAAGGAAAACGUGCCUGUUGCUACCUACGUAGGGAGUGUUG